CUGCACUAAUACCGAAUGUGUCGCAAGAUGAAAGAUUUAUUGCCUAGAGAUGAGCUCGCGUCUGAUUAGCUAGUUGGUGGGGUAAAAGCUUACCAAGGCGACGAUCAGUAGCUGGUCUGAGAGGAUGAUCAGCCACACUGGGACUGAGACACGGCCCAGACUCCUACGGGAGGCAGCAGUGGGGAAUUUUCCGCAAUGGGCGAAAGCCUGACGGAGCAACGCCGCGUGAGGGAGGAAGGCUUUUGGGUUGUAAACCUCUUUUCUCAAGGAAGAUAGUGACGGUACUUGAGGAAUCAGCAUCGGCUAACUCCGUGCCAGCAGCCGCGGUAAUACGGAGGAUGCAAGCGUUAUCCGGAAUAAUUGGGCGUAAAGCGUUCGUAGGUGGUUUUGUAAGUCUGCUGUUAAAGCGUGUAGCUCAACUACAUAUAGGCAGUGGAAACUACAAAACUUGAGUGCGUUCGGGGCAGAGGGAAUUCCUAGUGUAGCGGUGAAAUGCGUAGAGAUUAGGAAGAACACCGGUGGCGAAAGCGCUCUGCUAGGCCGCAACUGACACUGAGGGACGAAAGCUAGGGGAGCGAAUGGGAUUAGAUACCCCCAGUAGUCAAG
rnacentral:rRNA from 1 species